rnacentral:rRNA from 1 species
UGGGGAAUUUUGGACAAUGGGGGAAACCCUGAUCCAGCCAUCCCGCGUGUGCGAUGAAGGCCUUCGGGUUGUAAAGCACUUUUGGCAGGAAAGAAACGUCAUGGGUUAAUACCCCGUGAAACUGACGGUACCUGCAGAAUAAGCACCGGCUAACUACGUGCCAGCAGCCGCGGUAAUACGUAGGGUGCAAGCGUUAAUCGGAAUUACUGGGCGUAAAGCGUGCGCAGGCGGUACGGAAAGAAAGAUGUGAAAUCCCAGAGCUUAACUUUGGAACUGCAUUUUUAACUACCGGGCUAGAGUGUGUCAGAGGGAGGUGGAAUUCCGCGUGUAGCAGUGAAAUGCGUAGAUAUGCGGAGGAACACCGAUGGCGAAGGCAGCCUCCUGGGAUAACACUGACGCUCAUGCACGAAAGCGUGGGGAGCAAACA